UACGUAGGUCGCAAGCGUUGUCCGGAUUUACUGGGCGUAAAGAGCGCGCAGGCGGCUGGUCAAGUCCGAUGUGAAAUCUCGCGGCUCAACUGGGAAACUGCAUCGGAAACUGAUCGGCUUGAAGGUGGGAGAGGGUAGUGGAAUUCCCGGUGUAGUGGUGAAAUGCGUAGAUAUCGGGAGGAACACCAGUGGCGAAGGCGACUACCUGGCCCAUUCUUGACGCUGAGGCGCGAAAGCUAGGGGAGCGAACGGG
rnacentral:rRNA from 1 species